rnacentral:rRNA from 1 species
ACAGGGAGGUAGUGACAAGAAAUAACAAUACAGGGCAUCCAUGUCUUGUAAUUGGAAUGAGUAGACUUUAAAUCCCUUUACGAGUACCAAUUGGAGGGCAAGUCUGGUGCCAGCAGCCGCGGUAAUUCCAGCUCCAAUAGCGUAUAUUAAAGUUGUUGCGGUUAAAAAGCUCGUAGUUGGAUUUCUGCUGAGGACGACCGGUCCGCCCUCUGGGUGAGUAUCUGGCUUGGCCUUGGCAUCUUCUUGGAGAACGUAGCUGCACUUGACUGUGUGGUGCGGUAUCCAGGACUUUUACUUUGAGGAAAUUAGAGUGUUUCAAGCAGGCACACGCCUUGAAUACAUUAGCAUGGAAUAAUAAGAUAGGACUUUGGAACUAUUUUGUUGGUUUGCGUUACAAAGUAAUGAUUAAUAGGGACAGUUGGGGGUAUUCGUAUUUCGUUGUCAGAGGUGAAAUUCUUGGAUUUCCGAAAGACGAACUACUGCGAAAGCAUUUACCAAGGAUGUUUUCAUUAAUCAAGAACGAAAGUUAGGGGAUCGAAGAUGAUUAGAUACCAUCGUAGUCUUAACCAUAAACCAUGCCGACUCAGGGUUGACCGGCGUUAUCAUGACCUGGUCAGAACUGUAUGAGAAAUCAAAGUCUUUGGGUUCCGGGGGGAGUAUGGUCGCAAGG